rnacentral:rRNA from 1 species
CGGACGGGUGAGUAAUGUCUGGGAAACUGCCCGAUGGAGGGGGAUAACUACUGGAAACGGUAGCUAAUACCGCAUAACGUCGCAAGGCCAAAGAGGGGGACCUUAGGGCCUCUUGCCAUCGGAUGUGCCCAGAUGGGAUUAGCUAGUAGGUGGGGUAAUGGCUCACCUAGGCGACGAUCCCUAGCUGGUCUGAGAGGAUGACCAGCCACACUGGAACUGAGACACGGUCCAG